rnacentral:rRNA from 1 species
UGGGGAAUUUUGGGACAAUGGGCGAAAGCCUGAUCCAGCAAUGCCGCGUGUGUGAAGAAGGCCUUCGGGUUGUAAAGCACUUUUGUCCGGAAAGAAAUCCUUGGCUCUAAUACAGUCGGGGGGAUGACGGUACCGGAAGAAUAAGCACCGGCUAACUACGUGCCAGCAGCCGCGGUAAUACGUAGGGUGCAAGCGUUAAUCGGAAUUACUGGGCGUAAAGCGUGCGCAGGCGGUUUGCUAAGACCGAUGUGAAAUCCCCGGGCUCAACCUGGGAACUGCAUUGGUGACUGGCAGGCUAGAGUAUGGCAGAGGGGGGUAGAAUUCCACGUGUAGCAGUGAAAUGCGUAGAGAUGUGGAGGAAUACCGAUGGCGAAGGCAGCCCCCUGGGCCAAUACUGACGCUCAUGCACGAAAGCGUGGGGGAGCAAACAGGAUUAGAUACCCUGGGUAGUCCACGCCCCUAAACGAUGUCAACUAGUUGUUGGGGGAUUCAUUUCCUUAGUAACGUAGCUAACGCGUGAAGUUGACCGCCUGGGGAGUACGGUCGCAAGAUU